AUUGAACGCUGGCGGCAGGCCUAACACAUGCAAGUCGAACGAGUGGCGGACGGGUGAGUAAUGUCUGGGAAACUGCCCGAUGGAGGGGGAUAACUACUGGAAACGGUAGCUAAUACCGCAUACCAUCGGAUGUGCCCAGAUGGGAUUAGCUUGUAGGUGAGGUAACGGGUCACCUAGGCGACGAUCCCUAGCUGGUCUGUGAGGAUGAACAGCGACACGGGAACGGAGACACGGUGCAGACUCCUACGGGAGGCAGCAGGGGGGAAUAGUGAACAAUGGGCGCAAGCUUGAUGCAGCCAUGCCGCGUGGAUGAAGAAGGCCUUCGGGUGGUAAAGUACUUGCAGCGGGGAGGCGUUACCCGUAGAAGAAGCACCGGCUAACUCCGUGCCAGCAGCCGCGGUAAUUC
rnacentral:rRNA from 1 species